CCACUGCACUCUAGCCUGGGCGACAGAGUGAGACUUCGUCUCAACAACAACAACAACAAAAAAAGAUAAAUUCACAGGAGCAAUUACCAAGUCAGGGGGUAAGAAUAUCUUUGCUGUUUAAUGGGUAAAGUUUUGCAAGAUGAAAAGAGCUCUAGAGAUGGAUAGCGAUGAGAAUUGCACAACAUGAAUGUACUUAAUGCCAUUGAGUACCAUUAAAAAUGGUUAUGAUGGUAAAUUUUAUGUUAUGUGUAUGAAAAAAUUUUUAACUCUAAAGAUAAGGGAGACACCGGCAGAGUCGGGCACCGCCAGGCUGGCAUCUGGAAGUCCAAAGUCUGGACCCUAGCAGUGCAAGAACAUCUGUUACCCUGUCUUCUCAGAUCCCCGCCGGAAGUGUAGGAAGAGAGCAAGCAGAUUUGAGCCUAUCUGCUUUCAAGCUGGUGAUCGUGAUGAAACUUAGAAACAAAAGUGAAAAGCCAGGUAAAGGUUCCAAGGGCUGUAAGAAGCCUGCAAAACGAAAUGGGAAGAAAGCAACCUCCAAAGUGCCCUCCGCUCCUCAGUUUGUUCAUUCCAAUGAUCAUGCCAAUCAAGAGGCUGAAUUAAAGAAGAGAGUUGAGGAGAUGAGGGAGAAGCAAGCUGCCCAGGAGCAAGAAAGACAAAAACGCAGGUCUAUCAAGAGCUACUGUGAGGAUAUCCUAACACGCCAGGAGGAGUUUGAGUGUAAGGAGGAAGUUGUGCAGGAAUUAAAUAUGUUUCCUCAGCUGGAUGACGAGGCCACGAGGAAGGCUUAUUACAAGGAGUUCCGUAAGGUGGUAGAAUACUCUGAUGUGAUUCUGGAAGUCCUGGAUGCCAGAGACCCAUUAGGCUGCUGCUGCUUCCAAAUGGAGGAGGCUGUUCUAUGGGCAGAAGGCAACAAGAAGCUGGUCCUGGUCUUGAACAAGAUUGACCUGGACCCCAAGGAGGUUGUGAAGUGGCUGGAUUACCUUCGGAAUGAGUUGCCAACUGUGGCUUUCAAGGCCAGGACUCAGCAUGUCAGCUUUGGAGCUGAAAAUCUCAUGAGGGUUCUGGGGAACUAUUGCCACCUUGGUGAAGUGUGCACCCACAUCAGUAUGGGUGUUGUGGGCCUUCCCAAUGUUGGGAAGAGCAGCCUGAUUAAUAGCCUGAAGCACAGCCAUGCGUGCUGCGUGGGAGCCGUUGCUGGGGUCACGAAAUUCAUGCAGGAGGUCUACCUGGACAAGUUCAUCUGGCUGCUGGAUGCUCUAGCCAUUGUCCCAGGGCCCAGCUCCGAGGUGGGCACCAUUCUGCAUAGUUGCAUCCACGUGCAGAGGCUGGCAGACGCGGUAACCCCAGUGGAGACCAUCUUGCAGAGCUGCAACCUGGAGAUUUCCAACUAUUACCUCCUCUCUGGGUACCAGACCACUGAGCACUUUCUGAUGGCAGUGGCCUACCAUUUGGGGAAGAGAGACUUAUGCAGUCAGGAGCAGGCAGCCAAAGCUGUCCUAGCUGACUGGGUGAGCGGGAAGAUCAGCUUCUAUAACCACCACCACCCACUCACACUGCCUGCCUAUCUCAGCACUGAGAUCAUUAAGGAAAUGACCAAGGUCUUUCACAUCGAGAAUACUGAGCAGGUCAAUGAAGACACCAUGGAAUGCUUGGCCACUGGAGAAUCUGAUGAGGUGUUGGGUGACUUGGACCCACUCAAAAUGGAGAUCAAGUUGCUCCAUUAUCCGAUGAUGAAAAUAGCAGAUGCCAUUGAAAAUAAAGCCACCAUGUAUAAGAUCGGAGAUUUCACUGGGUAUUGCACCAAUCCGAAUCGUCAUCAGAAGGGGUGGGGCUAAAGUCAAUGUGGAUCACCACCCUAAAAACAACAGUAAAGUGGAUGUGUGCCCAGUGGACUGCUGCCCAGUACUGCGGAGGAUCAUGGGGAUGGACUCCUUAUAACAGGGCCAGGCUCUGGCAUCCUCCCUAAAGAAUAAGAAUACGCAGAAAUGUGCAGAUAAAAUCGCCAGGGAGCUGUCUGAUUCCAUGAUGUCUGCCGUCAACCUCUCUGGCAAUGUUGAUGGCGGUGUUGAUGACUAACUGUCUGAUCUCACUUCCCUUCUGAUCCAAGCACCAGUUCCAGUGGGACGGGGGAUUACCAAUGAAAUAGUUUGGUUCUCCCUGAAG